rnacentral:lncRNA from 1 species
CUUUUUUAGGCAAACCGAAGCUAAGAAAAUUUGUCAACAGUAGACCUUUACUACAAAGUGUCUUAAAGGAAGUUCUUCAAGUGAAAGGAAAAUGAUGCCAGAAAGUAAGUUGGCAUCGUUUUCCUUUGCUUGAAGAAAUGAAAAAAUGCUAAAAAUGUAAACAUGUAAAUAUACGAUGUUUUUUCCCCUUUAUUUAAGUUAUUUAAAAGAAAAGUGAACAUUUAAGGCAAAAUAAAUAACAAUCAUGGAGCAUAACACAUUCAAUGGUAAAACAUAAUUCAAUAAAUCAGAGAAUUGAAAUGAAAGUAAGUCACAAUAAAUGGUGUGAUACUCUAUAGAUUGUGAUCAAAGAUGUAUAUUAUAAACCAGAAAGCAACCAUAAAAAAUAAAAUAAAGAUACUGUUAAUAAGCUAGUAGUGGGAUAAAAUAAAUCAUUUAAAAAAUGUUCAGUUAAUCCAGAAGAAGGCAGUUUAAAAAAUUAAAAAAAGAACAGAUGGGACACAUAGAAAACAUGCAUAGUAAGAUGGCAGACAUAAAUCCAAUCAUAUCAAUAAUUGCAUUAAUGUUGAAAGGUCUAACUUCCAAUUAAAUAAUGAAAAUUGUCAAACUGAAAAAAGCAAGACUCAAAAUAUAUGUUGUUUACAAGAAACCCAUUUUAGAUACAAAGCCAGGAAUAACUUAAAAAUGAGAGGAUGAAAAAUACAUAUAUCAUGAAAUCAUCAAUAUAUAGAGAGUUGAAGCAGCUAUGUUAAUAGCAGAAAAAGAAGCCUUUAGAAUAAAGAGUACUUCCAGGUAUAAAGAGGGACAUUUCAUGAUAACAGGGUCAAUUUAUCAAGAAUACAUAAUAAUCUUAAAUACAUAUUCAGCAAAUAGCAGAGCUUCCAAAUACAAGAAAAAUUCUCACAGAACUAAAAGGAGAAACAGACAAAUGCACAAAUACAGCUGGAGAUUUUAACACCCCUCUCUCAGUAAUUAAAAGAACAAGUAGAAAAUCAAUACAGAUAGAAGAAAAUCUCAUCCAUACUAUCAACUCAAACUAAUUGGCAUUUAUAAGAAGACACAUUAUAGAGUAGUAGAAUACACAUCUUUUCCUGGUGCAUAUGGAACAUUCACUAAGAUUAACUGUAUUCUGGGUCAUAAAACAAUUCUAUUCAAAAGAAUAGAAAUUAUACAGAGUAUUUUCUCUGACUGCAAGAGAAUUUAUUAGAAAUCAAUUACAGAAAGAUACUGGAAAAUGUCCAGAUAGUUGGAAAUUAAAGAUCACAUUUAUAAAUAACCCUUAGAGUUAGAAAUGAAAUCUCGAGGGAAAUUAGUAAAUAUUUUAAACUGAAAAACAUGAUGAUUUAGGGGGAGAAAUGACUUAAAGUUGUAACUUUUUUCAGGAUUCUAGAAAUUUGUUGUUUAUUAUAUUGCUAUUGUAAUCAUAUUUUUCAUUACUAUUAAUUCCAUUGUAAUCAGUCCUCCCUAGUUAGAGGCCCUCAGCCCCAUCUUCUGGCAUCUAAACCAAGUGUGGUGGGACAAGCACCAGAUUGGGAAUGUAUUCUUGACUUUGCCACUGGCCAGUUGGUAUGGUCUGAUUGUGCCCCCAAAAUGUAUACAUUGAAACUCAGUUGUCAGUGUGAUAGUAUUAAGACGUAAGGUUUUUAGGAGCUGAUUAGGCCAUGAGUGCUCCAACCUCAUGGCUAGGAUGAAUACCCCUUAUAGAAGAGUCCUUAGAGAUCUUCCUGGCGCUUUCAUUUCUUCUGCAUGUGAGGACACAGCAAGAAAGCAAAAGCCAUUACCAGACACUGAAUCUUCUAGUAUCUUAGACUUCCCAGUCUUUAGAACUGUGAGAAGAUUGAUUUCUGAUCUUUGUAAAUUACCCAGUUUGAGGUAUUUUAUCACAGCAGCACAAACAGACUAAAACAGACUAAAAAGGUACGGUUAGGUAAUUUCACCUAACCGUACCUUAUUACUUUUCUAUGUAACGUGAAGAAGUUGGGUGGAAUGUGCUCAACGAUAGGUGGCCAACUGGUCACAGAUAUUCUUAGCACUGAAAGCCCUGUAUCCCAGGAAUCUGUUCAGUCCUAGAAAACAGAUGUUUAGUCUAUUUCAGAGAACCUCUCAGCUCUAACACUUCAUUAUGCAAAACCUUUCACUAAUAUUUUACAUUUAAACAUUUUUUCUUUUCCUCUCAUCAUACUGAUUUUGUUCUCUUAGUAGUCUUGAGAUAAAGGUCCCUGGACUUUUGACCCGUAUAAAUGUUGAUCCAGUUUCUAAACAACUUCAUGCCAUUUAACUGACUAAAUUCAGGUUAGCCUGGGGCUCCAUCUCUAUCAUUAAUUGACUAUUUAGAGGACCAAGAGAACUUCAGACUGUUCCUAAUUUCUCGGAUCCUGUAUUGGAUGCAAAAUAUUUCCAUGAAACAGAUUAUUCUAUUUUGUCUCUUGGGUUAUAUAUAAGUUACCUCAUAUAUAUGGCAGGGUAGCCCAAACUAAAGGCUGUUGGAAUCAGUACAACUGAUGAUUGAGAGCAUCAGUCAAUUGUAUUGCUUUUAUUUUCUCAAAGUCUUUGAUUCUAUCCUUUGAACUCUUUCAUAAUCUUACCUUGCUAUUCCAGUCAGUUGAGGUGGAAAAAAAUCAAAUUAUAUCUUGGGAAACCAUCUUUUACAGGGAAUCAUACAAAAAGUAAUGUUUUCCAAUUACAUAAUGUGCAUAAUUAUAUAAUUAAAUGUGAUACUAACCAUUCCUGUCACCCAUUGCAAACAUACAAGGGGAGGGAGAGGAUGACUCUUGUAUUGCCUCGAAAGAAUUGCCCAGAUGACAAGAUCUAUGGGUUUUGCAUUUGAUAGCAUGAGGUUGGCAUGUUACCAUGAAUUAAUUAUGUAAUAAGCAAACCAUUGUAGUUUGUUAGAAGACAAUACAUUUCUCUUUCAAACAUGAUACUUCAAAAGGAUUAAAUAACUAUAUCUACAUAAUAUAUUAUAAAUCACCUAAUGUACAUUCCCCACAAUUUUUAAAGUUAGAAGGAAAAAAAUGAAAUAAGUGUCAUGGAAGAAUAUGCAGUGAUGAUGUAUCUUUCUACUUAUUACAAUUACAUUAAGUGGACUUUACUUGUCUCUUUUUCGGAUAAAAUCUGUGAUGUGCUAAAGUCAUCAAUUAAAACAAAAAAGAAACUACAGUGCUUCCUCUAAAAGCCCCCAAUGCAGCAAAGCUUUGGUAUGUCGAUAAUGGAGUUAGAAAAACCUCUGAAUAUUGUAUUAUUAUAUGCAUUGGUCCCAAAAUAGUGCUAAUUUUUAUUCUGCAAGGGUACAACUCCUCCAGUUUUUAUUUGCAGCUUCCUCUGAACCUAAGACUCAGACAUAAAUCCAUGGAAACUGAGUUGAUGACAUUUAGAGUGACAGCUCAUAUGGUAUUCAUAAUUACUACCCUAUUUCUAGAGAAAGUCAUGUGCACCAGAUAUCAUAUUGGUCCUUUAUAUAAAUGCAGUCCUCCUGGCCCUUCCCUCCAAUCUACCACAUAUGCUCAGGCAAGUCUACAGCCCAAAGAACAUAGAUCAGACUAAAUAUAAGCCAUUUGGCAAGAGAAGGGUCUACCCUCCUCCUGAUUUCUAGCACUGGAACACUGUGAUUUCCACCUUCAGCUUCAGGAUGUCUCUUUUAAAACUAUUCCUGUUUCAUAAUUAGGGGACUUUGUGCAGUACCUUCAAGGAUUGCAUACAAAGAUUUGACACUAGCCUCUCUCUGGCCUUUGUGCUGUAGCAUUAAAGAGAGUUUCGGCCACGUCUCGUAGUCAAGUCCCCGCAUUUUUACUGAGAUCAGGAAGCUGGACCUUGAUUCCUGUCUCAAUAACCUGUAUGGGGUCCUAGCACCCCCCAGGAACUGUCUUCAAGCACCUCUUUUCACCUUUGUGAACUCAUCCAGUAAAGGAGCCUGACCAUUCCCAGAAUGACCUUGCUCAUCACCUAUGAAGUUCUGGGCUUUUCUUCUGACCUCGUCCUUCAUGAAAGAGCAGGAAACCAAGUUGGAUACUAUUCUGCACAGCUGUGAAAUCCAGGGAAUGAAGCACAAACUUGACUCAGUGGACAGUGAGAAGCCAAGCUAAUUGCUUAAGAAGGAAUGCAACACAACGAAAGUGACAUUCAGGAAAACAAGUCUGGCAAGAGUAAGAGAAAUGACUAAAUACAGAUAAAUCUGCCUUCUGUGCAACGCUUUAGGCAUACUACCCUUGCCUUAUCAUGGAUACCAGUUCAUAUUGCCCCACCUCUCUUACCCUGAAAGUCAAUCAUAAAUAAGGGAUUUUUUUGAGAGGGGGGGCACAAUUAUUCCUAUUCUCUAUAGAUUUUUUCUUUUGCUUUAUAUUAUUUAUAUCUUUUUAAAAAAUCUGCUGCUUUUAUGCCUAGAAUAAUAAAACUGUGAUGAUACUGUAAUAAGGUACACAGAAAAUGUCCAGAGUAAAAGUGAAACCAACGCGGGCAUUCUCAAACAUAAAAGAAUUCUUAUAAGUGCCUCUCCAAAUGUUUGAGUUCCAAAACAAUUCACAUGGGUUUUGUAGGAUGUUUUCCAUUUCUUACUUAAUCCCAAGUGGGCUUUAAAGAAAAGAACAUUUAAGCAUUUCUUGUCCCUUCACACUGGAAUCAGCCAAAUGUGAUGUGGAAAGAGCUACUUGAUAUCCAAAAAACCCUUUCUACUUUUUAAUGAGUUUUUUUGGGGGGGGUUUCCUCCUUAAAAAGGGCAAUAAGAAUUCUAAUGCAAACCAACUCAGAAUUCUCCAAGUAUAACUAGCAACUUAAGCCACAAAUAUUCAACUCAGUGUGUUUUCUUUGUUUUCUAGUAAUGUGUCCCUCUCCCUUGUCCAUUCUAAGAGACAUUUCAUAUCCGUGGUAUAAUUCUCACCCUUAAAUAUAGGUGUCCAUUUUCAUGGCUACAGCAGCGAUCAGCUAAGCCAAAGCACAAUAGGCUUUCAACAGAUAUUGUUAACAAAUCGAUGUGGGUGUAGAUUUUACCCAAGUUCCAGAAUGAAAGCAACAGCCACCGGGGCACCCAGGGUGAAGGGAAGAUUGAAAUUCAUUGAAGAAAGGCCAAUUUAAAAAAAAAAAAAGACUGACUUAAUGUGUAACAGAUAAUGUUUUAAGGAUCUGUAGAAAUCCGACAGAGAAAUGAGUUUAAGAAAGGGAGUUUAACAGCUAUGCAACAUUCUCAGGUGCGUUUCUCUGCCUCUUCCAUGCAAGAAGUCUUCAGAAUGCUAGGCUAUGUGCAAAGUGCUAUCUUGGACACUGGGAGGGAGGAAAGGCCAUGUACCAAAUCAUAUAGUACAGAUGUUCUUUUCUUAAAAGGCUUAUGAACAUCAUAGUAAAAACAAACAGACCUUUUUAGAAGCAAGUAAUGGAAUUUGAAAACGUGGAUUUGAGAACCAGCCCUUAUAAACUUACUAGCUGAGUAAGCAGAGUAAUUCAUUGAACUGCUCAGAAACUCAAGUUGCUUCAUUUAGUUAAAAUGGAUAGUAAUAUCUGCUUCACAGGGCAGUCUAAGAAUGUGUCAUUCUAGAGAUUGUCAUCAAUCCCUUUCAUACAUGUGCCUCUUUUCUCCAUUUGGAAAAUAGAACAUCAAAUGGAAUAUCCAAUAGAAUAUCUGACACAAUAUUCUUUCCCUAGCAUGUUUAUUAGUAAUGACUAAGUUGACCUAAAAAAACUGACUUAGAAAUUAUUAUAUGUGAAACAAUUUUUAAAAGAAAGUCAUUGUAUUACUGAAAGAAAUCUGGAUACUGGGUGAAAAAAAUGCAGUGAAGUCCUGCAGGGAGGCAGGGACAAGACAGAGAAAGUCCAGGUGGGUUUAGUGAAAGCCAGCCUGGCUCCGGGAUGCGCAAUUACCCUGGAAGGGCUGUUCCAGAGUGGUCAUAAACCUACAAAUGUCCCUACCUACAUCAUCCAGAUACAGGCUAGGUAUAUCACCAAGCCUGGUGUACCUGCCUCACUAGACCUGGACUUUUGAAUGUUUCUUGGACUAGGGGUUCUCCAAAUUGCAAGACAACUUAUCCUUCCCAAGACUUCUCUGGGCCAAACUAACACCUUAAACUUCUAGAAAAACAAUUCAGUCAUUGAGAAUGUAGAGUCAGAAUCCUUGUAGAAAAUAGACGUUCCACUCAAAAUGGAUAAUAUAAAGAGAGUUUAAUAAAAAUAAUAUAUUUUUUAAAGUAUGGAUCCACUGUAGGGAAACCACAGUGAAGCCAGAGGAGGGAAAUAAUUGUUGACCUUUAGCCUAAAGGUUUGACGCAGCCCUAAGAGUCCCAGAGGCAAAGAAAUCUGUGUGGAUAAAGUCUCUUUAAAGGAAGAGCCAGCCUGUAGUAACAUCUCCUAUUACAGAGAGAGAACCCCGCAGGGGACUAAAUACCACCACUCACCCUAUCCAACUCUCCUCUUCCAUCAUAUCGCCUGUCAUUGCUAAACCCAACUGAAAGCUGGAGGACAAGGGAAUCCCUUGGUAUAAUCUAUAGAGGCCAGGGCACAAAAUAACAUGGACAAUGCACCCAGAGGUCAAAGAGAAGAUAUCCAGCACAGAGGGAUUUGUUAUGUGCUUACGGUUAUGGUUUGAACUAUAUCCCUUCAAAAAGAUACACUGAAGUCUUACUCCCCAGUACCUCAAGAUGUGACCUUAUUUGGAAAUAGGGUCUUUACAGAAGUAAUCAUGUUAAAAUGAGGUCAUUAUGGCAGGUCCUAUCCAAUGUGACUGUGUUUUUAUAGAAAGUGGAAAUUUUGACACAGAGACAGACAUGCACAGAGGGAAGACCGUGUGAAGACACACAGGGAGAAGAUGAUAAUAGGACUGGAGUGAGGCAUUUGCAGGCCAGGGGAUGCCAGGAUUGCUGGCAAACACCAAGAGGCAGAAGAAGCCAGGAAGGAUUCUCCCUAGAGCUAUCAGAGAGACCUUGGCCCUCUUUGCACCUCGAUUUCAGACUUCCAGCCUCUAGAACUAUAAGAAAAUGAAUUAUCUGUUGUUUUAAGCCAUUUGGGUUUUGGUACACUGUUAAGGCAGUCUUAAGAGGCCAACACACUUGCUAAGAUGCAACUGCCCUGACUGAGCAGCCUUAAUUUCUCAGAGUGGGUUCUGGCUUCAAAAUGGACCUUAGAGAAAAUGAUGUCCAAACCUUUUACUUUACAAAUAAGAGAAAUAAGACAUAAGAGAGGCUUGCUUACAGUCACUCAACUGGUAACCAAGAUCAAACCACUGAAUCCCCAGAAAGCUUUCUGUCAGCUCUACAUCGGCAAGAAGUCAGGGACACGAUUCUCAACCUAGCAAAGCACAUUGCACAACACUUUGCCACCCACCUAGCAUAUUAUCCACGUUACAGGAUUCUCCAGAAUAGAUGACGAGUGCCAUCCUUUGCUGAACUCUCACAUCUCUGUAGUACUAGCAGCUUUUAGAGGGGGCUCUCAGCUAACGGAAACAGCUCAGAAAUAAAAAUUUGUCUCUGUUCUUUCUUAGUGCUAAAGAAAAUGUCGAAUAACCCUGAGAAAGACCACCACUAACUCUCUAGGACAAAAUGUUUUACUUCCUUGUGAAUUGGCCAUAAAAAGAGUUACCCAAACAAUGCUCAUUGAUUGAAGAUUGACUGCCCCACAUAUCUUGAAGAAAUGAUAAGAAACUACACAGUCAGCAGUUAAAAGUGUUAGAGAGAAUGAGAGAGAGGGUAGACAAGUGCCACCCAGAAGUAAAUAGAUUUCCUAUAGCACUGUGAUCUUUCUUAUCUAGAGGAAGGUUUUGUUUUUUUGUCAAUCAAUCCCAGCAGAUCUUCUGAGGGCUGACCACACCCUGGACUGGGGAAUGCUCGGGAAGGAAUAGGGGAAGGAAGAGGGGAGAGGCGAUUUCCUGAUGGGUCAGGUGCUGGCAAGUGUCUGGACCCUGGGAAAGUCGUGGUGUAGGAAUUCCUCUCCUUGGAGAGCAACCAGAGCAGCAGGAACAAUGCUGGGAACCGCUGGUGGUGACUCUCAGGUCACGCCUUGAACAGUGCAGUCCAUGGGCACCAGGCUAGGACACCGCACCUCCCAAACCCUGGGCAGCGCAGUGUAUACUCCCCUCGUUCAGUCCGGCUGCCGACGUGGAGUGCUGUUCUCCUGGCUAGUUCUAUUUAAGGGAGACAACUAGCUUCAUACAAGAUUAACGCAUCAGGAUAACUAAAAAGGCAAAGUCUGAUUAAGACUUUCCUUUAGGUCCCAAUAGUCCCAAACGGAGACUACCACUUUCUUGGCUCUUGACUGAUUGUUCUCCCAAGGGAAAGGCAUAUUUUGACUCUCAAAGUGAUCCCUUUAUGUGCAGUUUCUAAUUUGUCUGCAGAGAUAUAAAUACUUUAGAUGGCGUCUCUCCUUAUAAAGCAACUCAAAAAUUAUAUAACUGUGAAUUAAAGGGCCAUGUUUCCCUGCUUCUGUGUCCCCAUGCCCUUUGAAGACAGUGUGCUGAGGAGGCACAGAGAGACCUUCUGCCUUGGCCAGAGCACCAGUGAAAGUAACACUCAUUUAAUGGAGGCUAUAAUAGCCUAUUUCUACAUCAGUUUUUCUUCUAUUUAGAAAAGUUUCUUCUCUCACUAUCAAAAGUAAACUAUCUGUUAAGAAGUAUUUAAUUACUAUAGGAGUUUCCUUCAGCUAGAUCAGUGCAGAGAAAAGCCAAGAUAAACCAAGAUAAAUCCAUUUUAAAAUGCCUUAUUGAAAACCAGAUUUCCUACUUCUUCAGAGACUAGCUGGAAAAUAACCAUUAGGAUAAUUUACUUGCCUUAUUUUCUCUUUCAUUCAUAUGUGAACAGGACACCUAGCUCUUCCUGAGCAUUUUAGAAGCCUCCGUGGCCUUCAAAUCUGGUGCAUUGGUGACCUCUAGAGGACAGAAUCUCAUUCCAGACUCAAUAUUAAGGUUAAAGAAUCCAGUGCUCUGGGGAGAAUGUGAAUACAUUAUCAAUAUUGCAGCUGCAAAAUAGCUUUGGGCUCUCACAGGCACAAGAAGCUUCAAGAAAUUAUCUUCCUCCAGACUGAGAAGGCAAACAUGUCUUCCUAGAACGAUAUGGGAAAAGAUAAAGUAAGCAGGAGGAAACAAGGAUCUGGCUUACAGAUGCAGUACUACUUCUUCAUACAGAAGAAUAUAGAACUGGGAAUUUUUCAAUCAAGUUGCAGAUUGCAAGGAACCUAGAGACCAGAGUACAGAAAGACAAGGUAUCAGAUAGCUCUGUGAUGUCCAGAGGGGUGCAGAUUUUCAGUUGGGAGAAGUGCAUUUAUUGACUUAAUUUGUAAUAUUUUACCAUGAGCAAACAGGAUGACUUGGCUUACUUUAUAGCCCAUGAGGCAGAGCACAGACACUCAAAUAAUGGUAAGCCCUAUAAACAGAGAUCACAGCUGUUCUGCAAGCUCACAACAAAGCACUCCCUCAUCAGAGAAAACAUCGCAUAAAUUUUUAGGCACCUGGACAAUCUUGUUAGUGAUAUCUAAUCCUCUUUGAAAAUCCAGGCUAAGUCUGUAAGCAUUUUAGCAGUUGUCAGCAGUUUAAAAAAAAAAAGGGUGGGGGGCGGGGGGACAUUCUGUUUUAUUCAUAGUGUUCCCAAGCAAGUCCUUUCUGAAAAUUUUAGCACUAUGUUUAGGGUACGGAAGAGGAAUCCCCAUGCAAAACCCUCUCCUAGUGUCUUUCCAGUCCAGGGCCCUCACACACAAGUCCUAUCUUUGAGAUAUUCCAUUCCUGGAGUCUCAUUCUUAGCUCCUCCAAAACUUUGCUGGAGGCCUAUUAAGUGCCAGAAACCACAUGAGCACUUAGUAAGUAGUAUCUCACUUACUUCACACAACUGUUUGUAAAGUACAUAAUUAUUUCCAUUAUUAUUACAUUUUGCUGAUGAGGAAACAGACUAUAUGAAGUCAAGCAAUAAGUUAAUUGUUGGAGAUGUGAAGCCAGAAGAUCUUGACUUCAAGGUCUGUGCUCAGUGCUGUUAGCCAACCUCUAUGCUAAAAGGCUGCCAGAGCCUUUUUUUAAGACCAGUUGUUCUGGUCAUACCAUUGGGUUUUACUUAGCCAAUGUGGCUUGAAAGUACCAUGCAUCAUUCUAGUUCUCGUGAGACUAUUAGCACUUUAAAGGCAGGGACAGUGCCAGUACAAUGAGUGGCCUGUAGGACACAUUCAAGUAUUUGUUGUGAAUUGUCCCUUGUUCUCAGGAGAAAACAUGAUGAUUUGGAAGUUGUUUACACUUUUGAGUGUGGCUAAUCUUAAUCAAAAUGGCUUAUCAGUUUAGACAACUUUUUAAAUCUCUCUCAGCCUUAGUGUCCUCAGAUAUAACACAGGGCAUAACCUCAGGCCAUUAUCUACCUCAGAUGUUAUUUUGAUGAUGGAGUAAGUCAGUUAUGACAGAAGCCUACACAAAAGAAUGGCAUAUUUCAGGGAUUUAAUAUAUGUCUCUUAUCUUCCCUGAAUGUAAUGGUGCACAGACACCAUUAGAUUUAAAUCUUUAAGAGAAAGAGAAGUCAAUACCAAAUAGUAAAGAGUAAUAAUCAUAAAAUAAAAAAAACAAAAGUCCUGCAAAGCUCUGUAAGAAAUGCUUUUGCAAGAAGAGUUACUAUAUCCUCCUAGAAGCAUGUUAUUUAGCAAACUGAGAAGUACAUGUCUAGUAGGAAUAUCUAGCACUCAUUCUGACAGAAGUGAUUCACUUUAAAUCAUAUAAUCCAGUUGGGAGCUUGUACUAGUCAGAGUUCUCCAGAGAAAUAGAACCCAUAGGCUGUAUAGUCAUAACCACAUUUUGGUCAAUGUCGGACCAUAUAUACAACAGUGGCCCCAUAGAUUAUAAUGGAGCUGAGAAAUUUCCUAUUGUCUAGUGACAUCAUAGCUGUCAUAAUGUCAUAGCUCAAUGCAUUACUCAUAUCUUUAUGGUGAUGUUGGUGUAAACAACCCUACUGCACUACCAGUCAUAUAAAAGUAUAUGGUAGUGUGCUAGGCCUUCACAUUCACCACCACUUAUUCACUGACUCAUCCAGGGCAACUUUUAGUCCACAAGCUUUAUUCAUGGUAAGUGCUCUGUAUAGGUGUACUGUGUUUUAUAUUUUAUACUAUACUUUACAGUACCUUUUCUAUGUUUCCAGGUGUUUUGAUGCACAAAUACUUAUCAUUCUAUCACAAUUACCUACAAUAUUCAGGCUAUACUAUAUAGCUUAAAUAUGUGGUAGGCUACACUAUUUUGUUUUGUGUAAGUAUACUCUAUGAUGUUCACGCAAUAACAAAAUGCCCUAAUGAUGCAUUUCUCAGAGUGCAUCCCCAUCAUUAAGCAAUGCAUGACUAUAUGUAGAUAAGUAUAAAGAGAUUUGUUAAGAGGGAUUGGCUCAAGUAAUUAUGGAGGCUGAGAAGUCUCAUAAUCUCCCACGUGCUAGCUGGAGGCCAAGGAAAGCCAAGCCCGAAGGUCUGAGAACCAGGGACGUAAAUGGUGUAAGUCCCAGUGUGUGUCCAAAGGCCAAAGAACUGUAGGGUGGGGGCAAUAGUGUAAGUACGGAUCCAAUUCUGAAGGCCCCAAAAUUAGGAAUGCUGAUAUCUGAGGACGGGAGUAGAUGGAUGUCCCAGCUCCAGAAGAGAGAGAGCAAAUUCACUCUUCCUCUGCCUUUCAUUCUCUUUGGGCCCUCAAUGGAUUGGAGGAUGACCACUCACAUUGAUGAGGGCAAUCUUGUUUACUGAGUCUACUGAUUCAAAUGCUAAUCUCCAGAAACACUCUCACAGACUCACCUUAAAGUUUUACCAACUAUUUGGGGAUCCCUUAGCCCAGUUACACUGACACAUAAAAUUAACCAUCACAGAGCUGACUUCAAGAACUCUGAAAUUUGUAAAUAAUUCCUGGAAUGUAAGCUGAAGAAGCAGUAGCUAUCUAAAAACAUUAGUGUGUGUGUAAGAUUUUUAUAGUAAGUUAAUAAUCAGUUCAAGCCAAUCCAGGUAUUUAAAGGAAGCCUCGCACACUCAGACCACCAAAAGGCCAUGCUAAACGGAGUCUUAAGAAUAAUACAGUAGGAUGAAAAACAUAUUUUCAAGUACAGCUUAUGGAACAAGAAUUUGGAGUGUUCUUGUGUACAGUGGAAAUUAUUCCAGUUCCAAGUAAGAAAAUACCCAACUAGGAAUGGCUUAACCAAGUAGGAGAUUCUUUCUCUUACACACUACAGUUUGUCAAAACUGAAGUACCGCCAGCUAUAAGAGUAAUCAUUAUUGUAUGUUUCUAAAGAAACAUGCUGCCAAGUAACUAUUACACAUGCUUCUAUAUUACUUAGAAUUUUUAUUAUAUAUAGAUGUAUUAAACCUGGAUCUGUAUCAUAUCACCUAUCUGCAUACUUUAAAAUGAGAAAUAAACUGGUUAAUGUCUCUAAACUCUUUCAGAUUCAGAGUUCAACUCUUCUGAUUCAUAGUCAACUCAAAAUUGCCAAUGAGUUUUUCCAUUCAAUGUUGGUUUCUGUGUCAUCAAGAGCAUAAAUGAUGCAACAUUUCUUAAAAUAGUCCUUUGAAGAAGUAAGCACCACUGGAGCUAAAUUCCGAAGCCAACUUUGAAAAUAGGUAGCUAUCCCCUUUAACAAUGCUGCUAAAACCCACCUAAUUUACCAUCUCCUCUGCCUCCUUUCUCAGUUCUUAAGGAUUUAAAGAGUCCUCUGCUAUAGUCUCCAAGCCUAAUUUUGGAGCUGUUAAAGUGCCAAAAUAAAUGUAUACUUUAAAACUGAAUAAAAUAUUGUAAUAAAAAGUCUGAAGACAGGCAGUCCAUGAUAAAUUUAAUGUUGAUAAUAAAAAUGGGGCUACUUUUAUCUGUUUCAUGUGGCUUGUGGUUUUGUGGUCACAAGAUGGCUUCCAUAACACAAGGCUUCACACCUAAAUUCAAAGGAAGGAAAAGAAAAAUGACAGAAUAGCAGUGGUACAGUUGCCAUUUUAUCUGGAAAGCAAUUUUUUUUCAGAAGCUUCUUAGCAGGAUCUUUUCUUUAUUGUCCAUAACAUAGUUAUAGAACUUCAAAUGCUGCAAAGAAAGCUGAAAAAUAUAGCCAUUGGCAAAGGAGAAUGAAGUUUUAUGACUAUCUUAAACUUACCUCAAAUCAUGAAAUGACUCUGUGUAAUUAUUCCAGAAAAUCAAGGUUCUAUUAGUAAGAAAGAAAUAUGGAAUGGUUGUUUGGGUAUUUGAGAAGCAACUAGCUAUUUAUGCUACAUUAAAAAAAAAAAAACGAGAGAGUGAGAAAUAGAAAAAUAAUUAACUACUUCUCUUAAAUUAGCAGUUGGAGAAAAAUCUCUGGUUUUAGACCAGAAAAAUAAUAAUCAGGUUGCUAAUAAAGACUGUGGCAUUUAUAAAAGCCAUUUACUUUUUUUAAUGAUACACAACUCACUAAUAUACUACCACAUUUUAAUAUUGUAAACUUCAAACUUUUAAUUUUAAAUAAAUUAUUCUUAUGUGCUUUAUCUCCCUUUCCUACCAAAUGUUGGAUAUUUUAAACAAAAUAUCUGUCUAUAAUAUAUCAAUGAUAUUAAUCACUUUUUUCUGUUUGGUGUUUUAUACAUUAGUGCUAAUUAGCUGGUAUGAUUAAAGGAUAAUAUUUUUAAAGUCCCAUUUAAUAGGAGAUUAUUUCCUCUUCUGCCAUGAAUAAUGCUAUGCAUGGGCUAAAGUAGGAAAAUUACUGAAAAUUACCUUUCUAAUGGUCCUAAAUAUUGAAGUAAUCUGCCCAAUAUGAGGAUACUUUUUAUUAGUAUACUUUACACCAUCCUCCUCUUAUAAAAACUAAUUUGUUAAUGGAGAAGACUUAACUUCUCUAACACAUUAUUCUGAAGAGUUUAUUAAAUGAAUGUAUACAUUAAAGUAAUACUAAAUCCUUGAUAAACAGCUAAUCUCAGCAUGUGAUGCUGCCUUGUUUGAGAAUAAUAUUGGAACAUGAGCAUUAAACCCUCUUCUACUUUUUAACUACUAUUUAGGAGUAAAUCAUCACCAAGAUGAAAAAGAGUACUUUAGAGGAGAGAAAGGAAUCCUUUUAUCCUUUUACCUGUGUAGUUCAUAAUGCACCAGGAUUUUGUGUAAACCUGACACGAGAAAACUGUAAACCAUCUUGUGAGUUACAGCUAAAUGUUGAGGCCAGAUGCUUAGGACUCUAGUCAUGGCUCCACUACCACCAGCUGUGUGACCUUAGUCACUUACUCUGGGUUUUGUAUGGUCAAGCAUAGUUCCUACUCCAGGUGGAUGCUAAGAAAGUGGCUGGUGUUGGCCAGGCACAGUGGCUCAUUCCUGUAAUCCCAGCACUUUGGGAGGCCAAAGCAGGCGGAUCACCUGAGGUCGGGAGUUCGAGACCAGCCUGGGCCAACAUGGAGAAACCCCAUCUCUACUAAAAACACAACAUUAGCCAGAUAUGGUGGCGCAUGCCUGUAAUACCAGCUACUCAGUAGGCUGAGGCAGGAGAAUUGCUUGAACCCAGGAGGCGGAGGUGGCGGUGAGCCGAGAUCACACCACUGCACUCCAGCCUGGGCAACAAGAGCAAAACUCCAUCUCAAAAAAAAAAAAAAAGAAAGUUAAGUGGCUAGUGUUAAUUAACAUCCAGGUUCCUUCUGAACAAGGCCAAACUUAGAAGAUAAGAAUAUGAUUUGGAGAUUUCCCAGGAAGCCGAUGACUGCAAAACAUACCUCAUCUGCCAUGUGGCAAGUCUUAGAAACCAGCGAUUGAUGCAUAUGGUUUAGGUUUAGGUAGGGUUUGCUAUAGAUCAGAAGAUCCCUAAGAACAAAGGUUUAUUACUAACCUUUGUAGCUACUCUUCCUGUUUCUAGCAGAGAUCUUCUUUUGUUUUAAUAUAUUAGGAACUAUUGUUCCUAAUAAAUAUUCAUAGAGAGAAUUAUAUUAAUUUCAUUUAAAUGCAAGGAGUCCUUGCAUUUGUAGUUAUUGUGGGAAGAAAAAGCACCUACCAGGUUCUUUUCCAAAAGGAAAAGGGAUGAGAGAGAACGUGAGGAUAUCUCUCGAAUGGGAUGAAGAGUAGGAAACUGCUCCCAGAGGGCCUUUGUUGGAUUACCGUGGGGACAGAUAGAGCAUCAACAAAACAGAAGCACCAUGAUAUGUUUUUUUCAUAAUACAAUUUUUUUAGGAAACAAUUUUAUAGCUUAAAAAUCACAACAAAAAAUGUAGUCAUCAUUGGAAAAAUCAGAACAAUUUAAAAUUUUGUAAUAUAUAUUUUUAAAUUAAUUUGAGGAAAUGUGUCUUACAACCUUUUCAAUGCUUUAGAGCUUCCAAAAUUUAAUCUGGCCCUGCAGGAAGCAGUGCAGAAGGCUGACAAACACUAUCUAACCCAGGCGAUCAAGGUUAACAUCAACAGUGGUAAGCCACAUUGACAGUAUGUACCCUUGAUAUGUGAUGAGAAUGCCACCUUGUCUCUGUACCCUUUCUUUCAAAAACAUCUAACCCCAACUCAGUCAUGAGAAAACAUCAGACAAAUCCCACUCGAGGGACAUUCUACAAAAUACCUGAUCCUGAAAGCUAUCAAGGUCAUCAAAAACAAGGAAAGUCUGAGAAAUUGUCACAACAAGUAGGACUUAAGGAGACAUCCUUCCUAAAUAAAAUAUUGUCUCCUGGAUGGGAUUCUGGAACAGAAAAAGGACACUGUGGAAAAACUUUAUAAAUGUGAAUAAAGUAUGGACUUCAGUUAAUAAUAAUAUAUCAAUGCUUAUUCAUUAAUUGCAAUAAUUGUGCCAUACUAACAUAAGAUGCUAUUAACAGGGAAGACUGAGUGUAGGGUAUACAAAAACUCUCUGUAGCAUCUUCUGAAUAAUUCUGCAAAUCUAAAAUAUUCCCAAGUAAAAGGCUUAUUUUAAAAAAUUUGUUUUUUUGUUUUCCAUUUCCAACAUUGCCCUGCUAGUCACUAUCCUUCUGUCCCUGAAAACCUCUUUCUCCUUCCUGUAACAUUUCCCGAUUGCUUCAGAACUCUGAGGGUUGAAAAAGCAAGAAACACUGCUGGGCCAACCCAAGCAGUUAAAUGCACAAGUUCUCCCCAACUUCUCCCCCAAGUACAGCUUGAGGAAAUGGUACGUAACCCACCCACAGCUCUGACAGUGCCUGAAACCGUCCUAUUAGACAAAAAUCUCCCCACUUCUACCUUCUGCUAUGAGGCACAAGAUGUCUCCGAGGGCAGCUAAAGGAAGUACAGUGUCAUCUCUAUCAUGUCCUGAUCACAGACACUUUGCCUGCUCUGUGUCCACAGCCAUUCCCAUGGCCCUUGGGAAAUCCACAGAAGCACACAUGCCCACAGAGACAGCCUUAGGCUGAUUCUCCAUGUACAGAACAAAAACAUCUGAUGAUUGGGGGUUCCUUUGACUGGAAUUUUUAAUUCUUUGCAAAGGCAUAACUUUCAGAGAGGGGUAAAGCACUAGGCUGGAAAUAGGGAAUUUUGGUUUCUAAGAAACUAAGCAUAAAACUCAGGACAUGACCUAGGACAAUCUAUUUUAAUAUUUCACUGCUUUAGAAUUUUCAUAUGUAAAAAGAGAAUAACUGGUAAAAUGCGAUUGCUCAAUCAUUUCCGUCAUAUAAAAUUCCAUCGAGAUCUAUUUAAAAUCUUUAGCUGAAUGACCUUUGGCAAGAAAAAAUGAUGAUCCAAAAUGAAGCUACAGCAUAGUGUGGUUUUAGUAGUCACUGCUGAAAAGUUCUGUGCAGUCAACAGAAAAAUAAAUACAAACUGCCAAGUAGCUUAGGGAGAAAAGAGAUCUCACUUCAUUUAGUCAAGAAAGUUUGCCCAAUUUACUCCACAAUAUCAUUAGCUCUUUGUCUGCCUUUGGGCCCCAACGUCCUCUUGCAUGUACAAUGCCUACGAGUUGCCAUAUGGACUCUAUCCUCCCUUUUAAGAAUGCUUAUCUUCCUCUAUCCUGACUUACUUCUUAGAACAGUAGUGUUCAAACUGAAAUGCCCUAGAGUCCUUCAAGAUUUCCCAAAAGAUAUGAAGAAAGAGAUAUUUUUAGAGUAGUAGAUUCUCUGUUUUUCAACUCUCAUGUUUACUUUUUCUAAAAUUGUGGUGUCUAAGAAUGAGCCUGUUAUGGAAGUUCAGAUUUCCUUUCAUCACCCCAUUUAUAAUAGCUCCUCUCCAACUUGAAGAAAGGGCGUAAUAAGUGGUACUGGAUCGAUUGGAUAUCCAUACUGGGGAAAAAUAUGUUUUGGUCUUGACCUCACAGCAUACACAAACAUUAAUUCUUUAUGAAUUAUAGAUUUGAAUAUAAAAGGUAAAAUAAUAAAUCUCUUGGAGUUAAUAAAGCUGUAUAGGAGAGCUUUUUCAUGACCUUGAGAUAGGCAAAGAUUUCUUAUAUAAGAUUCAAAAAAGCUUAUACUAUAAAAGAAAAAAGAUAAAUUGGACUAUAUUAAGUAUUCUGUUUACAAAAAGUUAUCACUAAUAGCAUGAAAAGGCAACCCAUAGGAUGAAAUAUAAUAUUUUCCAAUACUUAUAUCAAAAAAGUAUUAUACACAGAAUACAUUAUGAAAACAAAACUUCAACAAAUCAGUAAAGCAAUUGUAACAACAAAAAAAUUGGCAAAAAAAAAAAAAGAUUAGACAUUUCACAAAAAAAGGAGACCUAAAUGGCCAAGUGACAUAUAAAAUAAUGAUCUACUUCAUUGCUCAAAGUGAUGCAAAUUAAAAUCACAAUGUGAUACCAUUAUAUAUCCACUAGAAAGGCUAAUAAAAAGAACAAAUAAUACUAAGUGUAGACAAGAAUAUGAAGCAACCAGAAACCUUAUUCAUUGCUGCUGAGUAUAUACAUUGGUGCAACUCUUUUGAAAAACUAUCUGGCAGUAAGUACUAAAGCUGUGCUAAAAUGCAUAUUCCAUGACCCCAUGACCCAGCAAUUCUACUACAAUGUAUAUAUACAUUGUAUACAUUCAACAGAAAAGUAUACAUAGAUGAAAAUAAAACAAAUACUAGAAUAUUCAUAAUACUAAUAUUUCUAAUGGCCUCAAACUAUAAAUGUGCCCAUCAAUAAUAGAAUGAAUAAAGAAAUUGUGCUAUGCAGUAAUAACGGUGAAUAAUCUACAGAUAUAUGCAAAAUACAAGAUGAAUCUCAAUUUCAAUAAUGUUCAGCAAAGGCGAGCAUAAUGAAUGCUUCCCCUUAUAUCAAUUACCAAAAGAAAAGAAAAAGGCAAAUAUGGUUGGGGGAGUCAGUGAAUAGUGAUUAGAAAAGAACAAGUAAAGAGCUCAUGGAGUGCUAAUAAUGUUUUGUUUCUUGUUGAUCUGAGAAUUUGUUACACUGAUGCAUUAAGUGGUAAAAAUUCAUCAAGCUGCACAUUAUGAAACAUACACUUUUCUGUAUUUAUACACUAAUAUAAAGUUAAAAAAAAACUCUCACCCUAAAAUUACUCCAGGUAUAAAAACCUCCAGGAAAAAUUUAAAUUGUUGGUGUUCAAGUUGAAAAAGUGAACAACGAAUGACUGGGUAAAAAACCUUUUGCAAUUUAAAUAAUUCUUAAUUAUUUGCUUUCAACAAAAUUGAAAAAGGACCCAAUUGAGUUGUUGGCUGAUAAAUUAUUGCAAUAAAAUUUGGUGAUAAAUAGGAAUGAAUAAAUUGAAUAUUACUAUAAUAUAAUUUUAUUAUAUCCACAUCUACUUAGAUAUAUAUUAACAAAGUUCAUCAAAAUCUGUACCUACUAAAAAAGAAUAAAACAGAUUCUGAAGCCAAUAAGUACAUGAACUAAUUGGGAAAAAAAAGCCUAUCUCAUUGAAAGAUAAAAUCUUUUUAUGUUUGAUAAUUAUUCAUGUUUAUAACAAUUAUAAUUUUGACCAAUUAUAUUGUCAUAAUAAUUAUAAUAGCUCAUUUCAAAUGAUCCUUUUAAAAAUGCUUAGAGCCUCCCUUUUUAAAAAAAAUUAAAAACUUACUCUUUAUAUAUAUGUAUUAUAUAUGUUGCAGAGAAGUACAAUAGUGUUGUCAAUAUAAUAUUGUCAAACAUAAAAUGUAUUACAUAAAACUAAAUUUUGUAGGGGAAGAAAAUGAAAAUGUAAGCUCAAAGGUAAAAAAGGAAUUAUGUAAAAAUUCUGUUAAAGAAGAACUUUCUAAGGUUUUUAAGUUAAUGAUGAUGGAUAUCAAAUCUCUAUGGCAUUUGGAGUCUAUUGGAUACACUUAAAAGUUACAUUUUUAAAAUAAAAUGUCAAUAUUUACAAUUUGCUAGAAUUAUGACUUUUGCAGAUAGUUCAUCUUAAAAUCUUAAACGUAUCAUUUUUCAACUUAAAAAUGUGCAACCUAUAUGGUUUUAUAAAAUUAUUUUGGGAAUCAGGUCAUGCUAGGGAAAGAGACUUGAAGACCACUAUUCCAGCAGACAUCACAAAAGCAGAUUUAACCCUAAAAGCUAUUCCAUCAAACUGUUAAACAAGAGUAUGCUGGGUACACAUGAUUCACUUACACAUAGAACCAGUCAUCCCAUCUGAAACUACUCAACAGAGGAAUUGGCUGGAGGGGACUUUCAAGGUAGAGAUGAGCACUGCUUAAUGUGUCCUUUAAUAUGUAAAAGUCCCUAGAAUUUCAACUAUGUUCCUCUUUCCACACCUCCUGCCCUAGCAGCUGUGCUGGAAUCCCUUCCUUACUUCUAUAAUAGAGCAUAUCAGCUAAGACCCAAAGCCAAUUAGACAACAGGUAACUCCCCAUUCUACAGACAGGGGUCAGACACCACUGCAGGAUUUGCUAACAAGGUUCUCUUAGCCUUAGUACCUUAGUACAUCAUCCGUCUGGAAGA